rnacentral:rRNA from 1 species
GACGAACGCUGGCGGCGUGCUUAACACAUGCAAGUCGAGCGGUAAGGCCCUUUCGGGGGUACACGAGCGGCGAACGGGUGAGUAACACGUGGGUGACCUGCCUUUAGCUCUGGGAUAAGCCUGGGAAACUGGGUCUAAUACCGGAUACGACUCCGCGGUGCAUGCUGUGGGGUGGAAAGCCUUGUGCGGCUGGAGAUGGGCCCGCGGCCUAUCAGCUG